rnacentral:misc_RNA from 1 species
GGAAGUAAAAGCCGUAACAAGGUUUCCGUAGGUGAACCUGCGGAAGGAUCAUUAUUGUAUAACCGAGGUGCGAGGGCUGUCGCUGACCCGAAAGGUCGUGCACGCCCGAGUGCCCUCACACACAUCCAUCUCACCCCUAUGUGCACCACCGCGUGGGUCCCCCUUUGGCUUGUUCGGAGGGGGGCUUACGUUUUCACACAAACUUUGUAUGCAGUGUAGAAUGUAUUUUUUGUUUUUGCGAUCACGCAAUCAAUACAACUUUCAACAACAGAUCUCUUGGCUCUU